UAGAUGUGCCAUUCCAGAACCCUUGAGAAUACAGAAGCACUGUGCCCCAGUUCUCCACUGGACUCCUUAAAGAGCAACACAGUAUGA
rnacentral:lncRNA from 1 species